CUCUACUAUCUUGCUGCGCUCCCGUCUCGAAAGAACGCCAGAGCCUGGGCAAAGCUCUUCAAGCUUUCUCCUGCCAGAGCAGCUCCUGCUUCAACCGCUUCAAUCAUGGCUGUGGGAACAAAUUGGUCUCAUCUGUCCGUUCUAAGGGGAAGUCUUCACACACGUGGAGUAAAUACCCCUCAGCCUACCGACGGCCUUGAGUCCUGUGGUUACCUUGAACCCAGUUUAGCCUGUCUGCCAAGGUGGUUCACUGGGGUGUGGAAACUGCACACGCGCCAGCUUCUUGGAGUCCCAGAUCCCAAGCCUGGAUCACUCCUAGCUUUACCCUCCUCUGCUGCUCAGGUCAGUGAGUCAAUCACCAAGCAUUGAUUAAACACUUCCAGAUGACUAUGAACGAUCACGCACGUGGUGCUUUGCCCUGUGGUUUCAGAGAAGCCUGGGAAGAUUUGGAUGAAAUGGAACCAGGAGAACAGUUUCUGCAGUAACAUCAGUGUAUAAAGCUGGAGUGCUCUGCUCAGGAUGAUGACCAACCACAGGUCCCUAGGACUUACAAUGAAACCCGGGCCCCUCCAGACCAGAGAGCAGACCCAGACAAGGCUUUGGGGCCUGGCCAAGCAACCAUUUGUUUGCGUGGUUUUGCACGGUCCUUCCAAAGGUUUUGUUUUUCAUCCUUUUUCAGUGGGAAGGGGGAGUGAAUUUGUGCUAAUUGCAUGAAUAAAUAAGUGAACACUACCCUGUCCAGGUUGCCUCCUGGACUUCCUGUUGUAAAGGGAAGUUGCAUUUCAAUGUCUAUUCUCUAGGGUCAUCUCUGGGUUUCUGGCCACUUGGAGGCUGGCUCUUAGGGGCCCUUUUCUUUUAUAAAGUUGUGGCCCGUGGAUUCUCAACUUCUGUUGUUCAGGGCAUCACAUUUUCUUUUCCUAUAGGUAUUAUUGUACCUUUUUCUUAUUUUAUCUCCCUCCCACCCCCGCCUCACUGGCUAGAAAAAAGGAGAAACAAAACCCAUGUAGCUAAUACAGACAGACAAGCAGAAGAAAUUCCUGAAUUGGCCAUGUCCAAAAAUGGGUGUCUCUUCCUUCAUCUUGUGUCCAUCUCCUCCCCAGCAAGAGGUGGCAGCACGGCUUAUCAUUCAUUGGGAAUGGUUGGUUAAGUCUUUCCGAGCUGUUUAUAUUUACAGUGUGGUUGUAAUUGUACAAAUGGUUCUACUGCAGUUGCUCACUUUGUUCUGCAUUAGUUCAUUCAAGUCUUUCCAGGUUUCU